AACCGACCGUGAAAAAAUAAAUUUUAGUGCGCCCAUGACAUGCCAAGCUCAAACAGCAAUGCUCAAUGACAUCUGAAUUUGACAAGCCAGUUAAAUUCAGAUGUCAAUGUCAACCCAACAAAACAAUAACUUGAGAAAUUAUUAUUUUUUAACUAAUAUUUAUUGGAAAACUUCAACACAAAUUAUUUGCUAAAUAAAACUGAUGAAAAUCUCAUAACUUCAUUCAAGUUCACAUAUAAUUUGGCUGUGUGGCCUUUGUUUUGUGUACCUAGAAUGAUUACAAGGAGAAGAAUUGCAUGUUUUAACUGCUGAUUAGACUACACAACCAGAAAUAAAUAAGCUAAAUGAAGUAUGUUAGGAUACCCCAGAGAUCAUGAAAUGUGUUUGAUAGGGCUCAGACCAUGCACUUAAGGACAUCCAUCAAGAAAUCAUUGAGAUUCUACCAUAUUGAUGAAAUUGGGAAACCAGGAAGAACUGCCUGUCUUUACUGUUGGUUAGAGUACGCAGCCAGAAAUAAAUAAGCUACAGGAAGUAUGUUAGGAUUCCCCAGAGAUCAUGGAAUGUGUUUGAAGGGAUAUGAAUCAGCUUUUUUGUUAUCUUGAAUAGGCAAAAUGGCACGAGAAUCUUCCAACUGGACCCAAAGUCUCUAUUUUUGGUUAGAAAAUAAAACUUAUUUAAUGUUUAUGUUCCAUGACCUGUUUAUUGUUUUAUUAAAUUUUGUCAUACAGUUAUUUAGUUUUAAUAAUUAAAGAGAAAGUUGU